rnacentral:misc_RNA from 1 species
CGCACAUUGCGCCCAUUAGUAUUCUAGUGGGCAUGCCUGUUCGAGCGUCAUUUCGACCCUUAAGCCCUGUUGCUUAGCGUUGGGAGCCUACGUCCGUAGCUCCUCAAAGUCAGUGGCGGAGUCUAUUCAACUCUAGGCGUAGUAAUUCUUCUCGUCUCGCGGUGGUUUAGCCCCUUGCCGUAAAACACCCUAUUCUUUAGGGUAACAUCUCAAGGUUGACCUCGGAUCAGGUAGGAAUACCCGCUGAACUUAA